CUCUCCUAGCUAGAGUCCUAACAGAAUGUCCCUCUCAAUUAGGACUCUCCUAGCUAGAGUCUUAACAGUUUUACAUGAAUGUCCCUCUCAAUUAGGACUCUCCAAGCUAGAGUCCUAAUAGACCCGCCCUCUUCAAAUCAGCCUUGUCCUCGAGGCUGAUGAUUCGUGAAUUCUGGGAAUUUGAUCUUCAAGUCGUCAUAGUUCUCCCAAGUGGCAUCUUCUAUUGGUAGGUUCGCCCACUGUAUUAGCACUUCAUUAGUGGGUCAUCGUCGUUGAGUCACGAUCCGUCGAUCAAUAAUGGCACUUGGCUGGGUCUGGAGUUCUCU
rnacentral:lncRNA from 1 species